AUGCAAAUCUUCGAGAAGACCCUGACCAACAAGACCAUCACCCUAGAUGUGGAGCCCAGUGACACCAUCGAGAACGUGAAGGCAAGAUCCAGGAUAAAGAAAGAGGGCAUCCCCCCUGACCAGCAAAGGCUCAUCUUUGCCGGAAAGCAGCUAGAAGAUGGCUGCACCCUCUCUGAUUACAACAUCCAGAGUUAAGCCUGUACCGGGUCCUCUGUCUGAGGGGUGGCUAUUAA
rnacentral:lncRNA from 1 species